CACAACACUCAUGAUAUUGCAGAUUUUGAGUAUUGUGACAGAUAUGCAGAUCAUGUUGGAUUCCCUCGCUUAGAAGAAUGGAGGAAACAGCUCUGCAUAUCGGCCUUAGUAAAUGCUGAUGCCAACCUGGAGACAUACAGGGACUCCUGGGAUGACCAUGAUUUGCUUCAAGAGGCUCUUCAAAGUCCUCCUUUCACUCAACAACUUGGG
rnacentral:misc_RNA from 1 species